rnacentral:rRNA from 1 species
UACAGAGGUCUCAAGCGUUGUUCGGAGUUACUGGGCGUAAAGGGUGUGUAGGCGGUCUUUUAAGUUUGGUGUGAAAUCUCCCGGCUCAACCGGGAGGGUGCGCCGAAUACUGAGAGACUUGGAGUGCGGGAGAGGAAAGUGGAAUUCCUGGUGUAGCGGUGAAAUGCGUAGAUAUCAGGAGGAACACCGGUGGUGUAGACGGCUUUCUGGACCGUAACUGACGCUGAAACACGAAAGCGUGGGUAGCAAACAGG